UAAACAUCGGGUCAAGUGACCCAAACCCAAAACUCCCUUGACCAACUCUAUGAGAGAUUAGGUUAACCCAAGCCCAUGUACACCCAUGACUCGACCUAAUCUCACCUCUCCUGGGCCCAGACCUGGCCCAUAAAGAGUUGGUCCCUUGAGGCCCACAUAACCUAGACCUCAAGAACCCGAAAGGCCCACAGCCUUUCAACCUAGGGCCCAACUAGCCCUAGAGUCUCCAUGAAGCCUUCAUGAAUGAUGAACUUUGGCCUUAGCCUUGGUCCCCUGGGC
rnacentral:lncRNA from 1 species